AUGGCGAUCCGCAUCACCGUCUCCUACUCCGGCUACGUGGCGCAGAACCUCGCCGCGUCGCUCGGCCUCCGCUGCGGGUCCUCCGCCUCCGCCGGGUGCCGGUUCCUCCAGGAGGGGUCGUGGCGCCCCUUCUGCAUCUUCACCUCCUCUCGCCACCAGCCCGACCGCCUCCGGGCCAGCGACGGUGACCGCCAUGACGCCGCCGACGACCACAACCACCCCAAGCCUCAGGCCCUCGCUGCCGCCGCCGCUGCCGCCUCCGGAAGCCACUCUCUUUUCCCUUCGAGGCCCUACUCUUCGUCCAAGCCGCCGCCGCCGCCGCCUCUCGCCGUGGGGUUGCUGUCGGUGCUCGCCCAGGGUUCGACGGCUGGGAUCUCCGGCGCCGCGUCUCUGGCCGGAUCGUCGUCGAUUUCGAUCGGGCUGUUCAACCCGGCGCACCUCCUCCCGUUCUUGCAGACCGCGAGGUGGCUCCCCUGCAGCGACCUUGCCCCCUCCUCGUCUUCGGCGCCAUCGUCCCCUCCUCCCUCGCCACCGCUGCCUUCGAUCCGUCCCUCCAGGAAGACGUUCAGCGGUGUUCCACCCGCCGGAGCUUCCGCUUCUGCUUCUGGCGCGAUUGCCCGGAACAUCGGUGCUAGUGCCACAAUGAGCAGGAGCAACUGGCUGUCCAAGUGGGUGAGCUCGUGCUCCGACGACGCCAAGACGGCCUUCGCCGCCGUGACCGUGCCGCUGCUCUACAGCUCCUCCCUUGCCGAGCCGAGGUCCAUCCCGUCCAAGUCCAUGUACCCGACCUUCGACGUCGGUGACCGGAUUCUCGCCGAGAAGGUGUCAUAUGUGUUCCGGGAACCAGAAAUCUUGGACAUUGUGAUCUUCCGUGCUCCCCCAGCUCUUCAGGAUAUGGGGUACAGCUCCGGUGAUGUGUUCAUCAAGAGGGUUGUGGCCAAGGGAGGGGACUACGUCGAAGUGCGUGAUGGCAAGUUACUGGUCAAUGGGGUACUUCAAGAUGAAGAAUUUGUGCUGGAGGCACACAACUAUGAGAUGGAACCAUUGCUUGUGCCGGAAGGGUAUGUGUUUGUGCUGGGAGACAACCGUAACAACAGCUUAGACUCCCAUAACUGGGGGCCGCUCCCGGUGAGGAACAUACUCGGCAGAUCCGUGUUCCGGUACUGGCCACCGUCGAAGAUAACGGAUACAAGAUACUACCAACCCGAUGCGGCGCUCUACGCGGUGGGGAUGUCGUGA
rnacentral:rRNA from 1 species